CAAAAGCUCCCCUUUGCUGUUCCAGUCCGGCAGCUGCUCUGGUUUGAUCUCUGGUUUAGUUUGAAAGUCUCUCAUUUAUAGCAUUCUGCAACGGGACAACACCCGCGUGGAGUUUGGAAAUAAAGGAAAAAGAAAGAACUCAAAUGUAGAGUCUAUCCGUGGGACCCGAGGAGAGGGGACAUUUUCCAUGUUUGCCCUGGGGGAUAAUCACGGUUCAUUCCCCACAGGGGCUGAUCGCUCCUGAACUGACCGAGUGUCCCAGGGUAACGUGGACUGUGGAAGCCGCUGAAAAAUGACUCCCUGGUUGCACUGUGCUCUCUCGACAGGCCGGGAAAACAGGAUUUAACACAAACGCCUGAGAGAUGAAGGGAAAAGACGCUGGAGAUGAACACACCCGAGACUGAGAGUGCAGAGGUCAGAGGCCACUCAUUGGGAUAAGCUCAUGGCCUUACUAUUUGCUACACUGGGUCAUUUCAGCUCUUCCCAAUGUGCUUAAAGGGAAUGUGAAACUGGCUGUGAUCGAGGCGUACAGGAGCUCAGUGAUGCAUUUAUAGGUCGAUAAAUAAAGACAGGACAGUGUAAUAACAAAUAA